UCUGGGGCAUUUAAGCAAAGGAGAAAAUCUCAAGAAGAUUAUAAUUGUCCACCCUAAAAGGAUACUCCUUGCCAAAGUUCACCAUGGGCUGGGCUGUGGUCUUCCUGGCACUUUUCACUUACUGCACAGGCAUCGACUGUCAGACUGUUUGGACUCAGGCUCCCUCCAGCUCCGUGUCCCUGGGAGGAACUGUCACUCUCUCCUGCACAACAACUCAGAGUAGCUACAGCAUUGGCUGGUAUCAACAGAAAUCUGGAGAAGGCCCUCGCUUUGUCCACUGUGAUGGCUGCAGCAGGGGAGAAGGGAUCCCAGAUCGGUUUACGGCCACCAGGUCUGGCAGCACAGGAUUUUUAGCCAUCACCAAUGUGGAGGCUGAAGACGAGGCAGAUUAUUUCUGUGGUAGUUGGGACAGUGCUGGCAACCAGCUGCACGGUGGUAAAUUCUGA